rnacentral:rRNA from 1 species
AUGUCGGGCCCUUCCUUCCUCCCCCGCGCUGCCGCCGGUCCAUGGGAGGUGGCGGCGCACGACCUGGCGCACUGCGACGGCCUGGUCCUGGUGCCCGCCUACUCGGCGGUGCACCUGCUCAACCCGGCCACGCGGCGCGCCGUCACGCUGCCCCCGAGCCUGCACCGCCCUCACGUCGUCGGCAGGCCGCGUGCUAUAGGCCACCAGGCCUUGGGCCUCGGCCUUGACCCUCGCUCCAACGCCUACAAGGUCGCUCGCUUCUCCUACCGCUCGUCGGACAAGCCCUCCGGCCGCUACACCUUCGGGAUGGAGGUGCUGACCGUCCGAAUCCCAACGCAACCACCACACUACUGGCACUGGCGUGAGACGUCGACGCCACCGCCGUACCCCGUCAUGCCGGGUCGAACAGCCACCUUCUUCAAGGGCUCCUUGUUCUGGACCAUCGACGAGUCGCUGUUCCAAGACGCGACAACGGUCGCCCCUGGGUUCAUGCGCUUCAGGCUGGACGACGAGUCGUUCGGCGUCACGCCGCCCCCGCCCUGCCGCCGGAGGAUCGACUAUCAGGCGACCACCUUAUCGGAGCUGUCCGGCGAGCUGUGCCUGUGCGUGCCCCAAGAGUUUGUGCCCGACCAAGUCGACGAGUCGUACGAGCUGUGGGUGUGCCACGGCAUGGAUGACGAUGAACAAAGAGGAGGUCCACGGUGGGAGCGUCAUCACGUCAUCGUCGGGUACCCCGUUUUUCAAGGCUUCAGAGGCCUUCGUCCAAUGGCGGCGGAUGCUGACUCCAUAUUGCUCUAUGGCGGGACGUGCCAUCUCUGCCGCUGUCAUCGCCGGACUCAAGAAACUACCUCCAGGUUUUAUGCCGAUGUCCACCAUCUCAGCUAUCACCACCCGGAUACGGGCACGCUAGUUGAGUACAAAAAUAACGUAUGUGACUUCAACAUCACCGCCUACACUCCAAGCCUGCUUCCGCUCUAG